AUUGAACGCUGGCGGCAUGCUUUACACAUGCAAGUCGAACGGCAGCGCGGGCUUCGGCCUGGCGGCGAGUGGCGAACGGGUGAGUAAUACAUCGGAACGUGCCCAGUAGUGGGGGAUAGCUCGGCGAAAGCCGGAUUAAUACCGCAUACGACCUGAUGGUGAAAGCGGGGGAUCUUCGGACCUCGCGCUAUUUGAGCGGCCGAUGGCAGAUUAGCUAGUUGGUGGGGUAAAGGCCUACCAAGGCGACGAUCUGUAGCUGGUCUGAGAGGACGACCAGCCACACUGGGACUGAGACACGGCCCAGACUCCUACGGGAGGCAGCAGUGGGGAAUUUUGGGCAAUGGGCGAAAGCCUGAUCCAGCAAUGCCGCGUGUGUGAUGAAGGCCUUCGGGUUGUAAAGCACUUUUGGCGGGAACGAAAAGGACUGUGCCAAUACCACGGUUCGAUGACGGUACCCGCAGAAUAAGCACCGGCUAACUACGUG
rnacentral:rRNA from 1 species